GCUAAGAGACACACCUUAAUUCUUAUUGCACUGAAACCCUUUGUUGGAUACAAAAGGGUACGUUUUAAAAACAGAAGGCAAGCUUCGCUGAGAAGAUACUGAGUGAUUUAUAAAUUACUCACAACAUAAGGAAUCAUUAAAAUGGUGUGAAGAAGUGAGUUCCAUGCACAUUGUUCACAGAAGGGCAGCACUCAGAGCAGAAUGGGGUUCUCAUUAAAGAGAAACACCCCAGUGUUGUGGUUUAAAACCAGCUGGUAGCUGUCCUGCUUACAGAUAAAGAAGAGAAUCUCUGUGCUGGGAAAAAGAACAAUUAUAAUCCUAAACUUCAGGGAGAAAAAAACAAAGAAGCAAGAAAAUAAAGAUGUCAGAGCCAAUGGUGUAAUCUGGAGCUACCCAGGACCAAUUCUGUGACAGAUGGAGGCUCAAAUUCAAGCAGCAUUUCUAAAAGCUCUUACCAAGUAACAGACUUGUAAAGUCAUAUCCAAGCAUCUAAGUGGCAUGACUUUCAAACAUGUCAAGCAUCACCAGAUUAGUGCUACUAAAAUAAGGCCUGCUAAUUAGAAAACUGAGCUGGGUAACAGCAUCACAGCAUCACUUCAAAAGAAGAUGAUUUUAAGACUCUACCUUCAACAGCCACUAAAAAACCCCAAACCACCAGAAAAUCUUAGCUUGACAAUCUAAACCAUGAACCCCUAUGAUUACAUGAUUUAAAGGUGAAUUUGCUUUAGAUGGUGUAAAGCUAGGUGUCACUUUCAACAGGUUUGACUUCAGAUAAGCAAGUAGAAGACCAGAAAUAUGCCUAGGCAUAAAGAACAAAGUUAUGAAACUAUGUCUGAGUCCUUCUUCACUGUUCUGAUGUGUCUCCCUCAGCUGUCUUGCUAACCCUUUGCACAUGAUUUUUUCCUGAGUUUGGGAAUAAUUUCAUUUACUUUCAGUGUUGCUAAAUUAUGGGGUACUUGGUUCAAUUUUACUGUUUGUUCUCUCUUCUAAAAAUAAAAAUCUAUACUGCUAUUUCAUAUGGGGUUUUAGUAAGACCCAAAGGUAUGUGUGUUUGUUUUUUGAUAUCAGUUGCAGCUAAAAAUGACAAUCUUAAGCCAUUUUCUGAAUAGCAGUGCUACCUCAACAUGCUGCAGGAGUUCUGCCCUCACAGGUCGAAAGCGUGUAGGAACACAUACCACUUAAGAACUGGAGAAGUAAACAGCAAGGAUAAGGUCAUUGUAUAAGAUUGAAAAGCUCAACAUUCAUGACAAGAUAAUUCGAUAAAUAUCAAUAUAUAUAAUUAUAUAUUUAUAUUUCAAGUCCAUGAUCAACCCCAAAUGAGCC